UUCGGUCACAUCACGUUGAAACACCGGUUAUCGUACGAUCACCGAAGUUAAGCAAAGCCGAGCUUGGUCAUUACCUAGAUGGGUAACCACUUAAUAAUAUCAGGUGCUGUAAG